rnacentral:misc_RNA from 1 species
AUACUUGUAUCAUUAUCAUUUCAAAAACUUUUUUUUUUUUAAAUAGAAGUGUUUACAUAUAUAUAUAAAUCAAGUGUAAGAAUGUUCUUGUGUUUCUACUACUAAGUAAUCUUGUUGUGGAAAGUUGUACCAAAUGUGCUUCCAUAAAGAGAAGACAUUUGAGAGGUGGCAUAAUUUUUGUACAAGAAAACUCGUUGUCAUUUCAUUCUAAUAAAUUGAAUUUUCUUUGGUUAUCAUGGCAAAGAUAAGUCAGGAAUUUAUAGAAAAUGCUUUUCAAUUGCACUGUAAUUAACAAGAAGCGAAUGUCUUGAGUGUAUCAGGACCUUAAUGAUACAUGUAGUUACAUUUCAAUAUUUUUAGUCGGACAAACACAGUCUUUCCUAUCCUACUGUAUCAAUGCAAACGAUGACAAAGUAACUAACAAUGAUGAUUAACUUCAUAACUAAUAGUUGAUGUUGAAGUUUAAUACAUGAUGUUUUCACUCGAGAUGUCAUUUUGAAAAUGACAAGGUGCAGUUGAAGAAAUCCUUAACAAACUGGAGUUUUUAAAGUUUAUUAUGAUAAUGAACUUAUUUAGAGCUGUUUUGUAGGUUAAUCCUAUUAGAUCUCUGUCCAAUAAGGAAUGCACUCUGUGCCCACAUGAAGACUGCAGUCAGUUUAUGUCUAUACUAUCAAUUACACGAAUGGAAGGCUGCAUUUGUGAAAUGUUCUUUUCAUUGAUGAUCAUUUAUUUAAGGUAUUUUCCACACAGAUCAUUACAUGUGAAAGUUGGUUCUGAAGUAAAUCACAUAUUUAUUCAAGAUGAUUCGCUUAAGCAAUGCCAAAAGCUUGUAGCAUGUUUAUUACAAGACCUUACUAAAUAUUGAUUAAUAGCUUUUAUCACAGAGAACAAAAAUUAGCUUAUCAGUAAUUGAUAUAUCGAAUUUAAUUUUUUUAAACAAAUAACUAUUUGAUAAUAGUACGUAUUCCAAUAUUACAAUCAUUAUGAUAAUGGAAUUUAGAAAUACAUUACCGCCAUAUCGUUUUGACUGUGCAUUAAUCAUAUUUAUGUUGUUUAAUUUUUCAACCUUAUAGAAAACAUUUACUUGUGUUAAAAUCUUGUAUAAUUUAAAACUUGUAGGAAGUAAAUUUUGUAGUAAUUUGUACUCAUUUGUAAGUGUCAAAAACACUUAACUAUUUAUCAUGAUGUUAAAAAUUAAAGAAUAUUUGUUAAACCUU